GCCAGGUGUGGUGGUGUGCACCUGUAAUCCCAGGGACUCAGGAGGUUGAGGCAGGAGGAUUGCAAGUCAGAGGCCAGCCUCAACAAUUUAGACCCUAAGCAACUUAGAAAGACCCUGUCUUAA
rnacentral:sRNA from 1 species